GAUGAACGCUGACAGAAUGCUUAACACAUGCAAGUCAUUGGCGAAGCUGCGCUUGCGCAGUCUAGCCAAGGCGGACGGGUGAGUAACGCGUAAGGAACUUGCCCUGCAGACAGGGAUAACAGACGGAAACGACUGAUAACACCUGGUAUUGUCAGGCUGGCGCAUGCCGGCCUGAUGAAAGGAGACGCUGCAGGAGAGCCUUGCGUCCUAUUAGCUAGUUGGUGGGGUAACGGCCCACCAAGGCGAUGAUAGGUAGCCGGCCUGAGAGGGUGAACGGCCACAAGGGGACUGAGAUACGGCCCUUACUCCUACGGGAGGCAGCAGUGGGGAAUAUUGGACAAUGGGGGCAACCCUGAUCCAGCAAUUCUGUGUGCACGAAGAAGGUUUUCGGAUUGUAAAGUGCUUUCAGCAGGGAAGAAGAAAGUGACGGUACCUGCAGAAGAAGUGACGGCUAAAUACGUG
rnacentral:rRNA from 1 species